GACGAACGCUGGCGGCGUGCUUAACACAUGCAAGUCGAACGGAAAGGCCCUGCUUGCAGGGUUCUCGAGUGGCGAACGGGUGAGUAACACGUGGGUGAUCUGCCCUGCACUUCGGGAUAAGCCUGGGAAACUGGGUCUACUACCGGAUAGGAGCCAUUUUUAGUGUGAUGGUUGGAGAGUUUUUUCGGUGUAGGAUGAGCUCGCGGCCUAUCAGCUUGUUGGUGGGGUAAGGGCCUACGAAGGCGGCGACGGGGAGCCGGCCUGGGAGGGUGGACGGCCACAGUGAGACUGGGAUACAGCCCAGCCUCCUACGGGGGGCAGAGGUGGGGAAUGUGGCACAAUGGGCGCAAGCCUGAUGCAGCGACGGCGCGUGGGGGAGGACGGCCAUCGGGUUGUAAACUCAAUUCGCUAGGGACGAAGCUGUUUGUGACGGUACCUAGAUAAGAAGCACCGGCUAACUACGUG
rnacentral:rRNA from 1 species